rnacentral:pre_miRNA from 16 species
UAUCUAUUCAUUCGUUUUCAGGUAGGAAAUCUUUGUGGUUUUCCGUUUUUAGACGCGAAAACUGAAGAGAUUUUUUACAGAUUCUGCAAGAAAUCGUCGUCAUC